rnacentral:rRNA from 1 species
GGUUUCUUGUAUUAAUUAAGAGAUUUAACCUGCCCACUGAAUAAUUUUGAAGGGCCGCAGUAUUUUGACUGUGCAAAGGUAGCAUAAUCAUUAGUCUUUUAAUUGAAGACUAGUAUGAAUGGUUGGAUGAGGUAAAUUCUGUUUUAUGUUAAAUUAAAUUGAAUUUAUAUUUUAAGUAAAAAGACUUAAAUAAAAUUAAGGGACGAGAAGACCCUAUAGAGUUUAAUAAGUGUAGUAAAUUAAUUGAGUUAAUAAUGAAUUUUUGGUUAUUAUGAAAUUUAUUUAAUUGGGGUGAUUGGAAGAUAAAAUGAACUCUUCUUUAAAUUAAAUAAUAUAAUUAGUUUGAUGAUCCAUAUUUAAUGAUUAAUAGAUUAAAUUACCUUAGGGAUAACAGCAUAAUUUCUUUUGAGAGUUCAAAUUGAAAGAGAAGAUUGUGACCUCGAUGUUGGAUUAAGAUUAGUUUUGGGUGUAGAUGUUUAAUAACUAGGUCUGUUCGACCUUUAAAAUCUUACA